GUGAGAGGUCGAAACCCCCGCCAAAGGCACACUGCGUUCCUCAGUCCCCCAAGAUGUAUCCAGCAGAGAGCUAUAACACAGCCGAAACUGCUACCUUCUCUCUACCAUUAUCCAUCCCGGAAAACUGAUGCUGGCCUGCAAACCGAUUGCUCAGCAAGCAAGUCUGACUUCAAGCGUUUCCCUUCCAACAAUUUCACGUACUGUUAACUCUCUUUCCAAAGUGCUUUUCAUCUUUCCCUCACGGUACUUGUUCGCUAUCGGUCUCUCGCCAAUAUUUAGCUUUAGAUGGAAUUUACCACCCAAUUUGAGCUGCAUUCCCAAACAACUCGACUCUUCGAAAAUGUAUCACAAAGCGCUGGGCGUCCGCACCAUAUACGGGGGUCUCACCACUAUGCCGCUGUAUUCCAACAGACUUGUGUGCGGUCCAACGCGGAAAACAUUUCUGGAGAUUACAACUCGGACACCGAAGGUGCCAGAUUAUAAAUUUGAGCUCUUCCCGCUUCGCUCGCCGCUACUAGGGGAAUCCUUGUUAGUUUCUUUUCCUCCGCUUAUGGAUAUGCUAAAGUUCAGCGGGUAGUCCUACCUGAUUUGAGAUCUAACCUUAAAAUGAAGACU
rnacentral:rRNA from 1 species